CUAGUGGCUGAUGAUGACUUUAUCACCUACUUACUUGCUGGCCUUGGUUCUGAGUAUAACACUGUUGUCACCUCAAUCACCACC